AAGGGGGUGCUUGCAACGUUCAAAAAACAGAACGUACCGCAGGCUGAGAUGAUACCCAUAUUACCUGAUACGGAUAAUGCCGUCGAAGGGAAUUGUAAAC
rnacentral:ncRNA from 1 species